rnacentral:rRNA from 1 species
UGGGGAAUAUUGCACAAUGGGCGCAAGCCUGAUGCAGCCAUGCCGCGUGUAUGAAGAAGGCCUUCGGGUUGUAAAGUACUUUCAGCGGGGAGGAAGGGAGUAAAGUUAAUACCUUUGCUCAUUGACGUUACCCGCAGAAGAAGCACCGGCUAACUACGUGCCAGCAGCCGCGGUAAUACGUAGGUGGCAAGCGUUGUCCGGAUUUAUUGGGCGUAAAGCGAGCGCAGGCGGUUUCUUAAGUCUGAUGUGAAAGCCCCCGGCUCAACCGGGGAGGGUCAUUGGAAACUGGGAGACUUGAGUGCAGAAGAGGAGAGUGGAAUUCCAUGUGUAGCGGUGAAAUGCGUAGAUAUAUGGAGGAACACCAGUGGCGAAGGCGGCUCUCUGGUCUGUAACUGACGCUGAGGCUCGAAAGCGUGGGGAGCAAACAGG